UCUACGGGAGGCAGCAGUGAGGAAUAUUGGUCAAUGGGCGUAAGCCUUAACCAGCCAAGUCGCGUGAGGGAUGAAGGUUCUAUGGAUCGUAAACCUCUUUUAUAAGGGACUAAAGUGCUGCACGUGUCCCGUUUUGUAUGUACCUUAUGAAUAAGGAUCGGCUGACUCCGUGCCAGCCGCCGCGGUAAUCCGGAGGAUCCGAGCUUUAUCCGGAUUUAUUUGGGUUAGAGGGAGCGUAGGUGGAUUGAUAAGUCAUGUGGGAAAGUUUUGGGCUCAACCGUAAAAUUGCAGUUGAAACUGGCAGUAUUGAGUACAGUAGAGGUGGGCGGAAUUCGUGGUGUAGCGGUGAAAUGCGUAGAUAUCACGAAGAACUCCGAUUGCGAAGGCAGUUCACUGGACUGCAACUGACACGGAGGCUCGAAAGUGUGGGUAUCAAACAGGAUUAGAUACCCCUGUAGUC
rnacentral:rRNA from 1 species